AUGGGAUCGAUUGGCAACAGGAUACCCGAAGUUGGUAUGCGGUUCAGAAAUUCGGAUGAGGCUUGGGAGUUCUGGGUGAAAUAUGGAGGUCACAUAGGCUUUGAUGUGAGGAAAAGAAAUACCAUCAGAAGCAGAAUUGAUGGAACAAUCACUUCAUGUAGAUUUGUUUGUUCCAAUGAUGGCAUUCGAAGGAAAAGUCAAAUAGAUCACGAGCCGAAGCACAUUAGAGCUGAAACAAGAACCAAUUGUAAAGUUCGGAUGAUUGUUUCAUUUGAUCGAGUGGCCAAAUUUUUUGAAGUCACCGAAGUUGAUUUGGAACACAAUCACCUCCUUCAAUUGCCACAAACCUGUCACUUGUUGGCAUCACAAAGGAAGAUUUCAGAUGUGCAAGCUUUAGAGAUAGAAAUAGCCGAUGAUUCUGGAAUUAUGCCAAAAGCUUCACAU
rnacentral:rRNA from 1 species